rnacentral:lncRNA from 1 species
AUGGCUCCCUGGACCCUUGAAGUCUUAUGGAGGUCUGUUGAUGAUAUUGUCAUAAUGCCAUAAAGGAAAUGGAAAUCAUAGAGUAAUGACACAGAGAAUGGCUUCUUGGUCCUCUAUCUACAUCACUGUCCUACUGACGUCAUGGCGACUUCAACAGGAGAAACGCACUGGCUAAGAGAAUCCGCUUCGGGAACUAGCUGAGUUGCUGACCGCAGAAGGGCACAGCGCAUGUGCAGAAGACCCUUACGCGCCAGAGAGGUCUCUGCUCAAAGCACAGUGCUGACAGAGCACGCAGCCCAAGCCUUUUCUUCCUAGCAUCUGUUUAUACAAAUUCUGACCAGGUGGCAAACUCUUCCCCUCUGCUCUCAAGCAACAGGAUGCAGGACAGAGAACACCUGUUCCAAAACUGCUCUGAUUAGCUGGAAGCUGGCAGGUAUAGCAAGGGCUGAGGGCCACUCGGCAGGAGAGGAUCCUGCUGCCUUGUCAGCCCUUGGCUCUGCUCCUGAUCUUGGCUGUAGUCCCUGUCGGUGGCUAAUGGGAUUGAUCCACGGGCAUAAAUCUUUAAACUCCUGCUGGCAAGUGCGACGUUAUCUUAUCCAAGGCCACCACAGUGUGCCACUGCUAUCUAAAAGCAAAUGUUUCCAACUUGAGGAAGAUACUGGAGGUGCAGGCGCACAAACGAUGUGCCAGCAGGAGUGUCUGUGCAGCACAUGUAUCCUCCGCCUAUGAGACCAGAAAAGGGAAGCAGAUCCCUUGGAGCUGAUGUUACAGACCGUCCUGUGCUGCCACGAGGGUGCUGGGAACCAAACUCGGUCCUCUACAUGAAUAUCAAGUACUCUUAACUGUUAAGCCAUCUCUCCAAAACCCGGGACUGAAAUUUAA